GACGAACGCUGGCGGCGUGCUUAACACAUGCAAGUCGAACGGAAAGGCCCUGCUUUUGUGGGGUUCUCGAGUGGCGAACGGGUGAGUAACACGUGAGUAACCUGCCCUUGACUUUGGGAUAACUUCAGGAAACUGGGGCUAAUACCGGAUAUGAUCUCCUGCUGCAUGGGGUUGGUUGGAAAGUGUCGGCUGUUGUGGAUGGACUCGCGGCUUAUCAGCUUGUUGGUCGGGUAGUGGCAUACCAAGGCUUUGACGGGUAGCCGGCCUGAGAGGGUGACCGGCCACAUUGGGACUGAGAUACGGACCAGACUCCUACGGGCGGCAGCAGUGGGGAAUAUUGCACAAUGGGCGGAAGCCUGAUGUAGAAACGCCGCGUGCGGGAUGACGGCCUUCGGGUUGUAAACCGAUUUCGAAUGUGACGAAGAGUGAGUGACGGUAAUGGGUAAAGAAGCAACGGCUAACUACGUG
rnacentral:rRNA from 1 species